UACGUAGGGCGCAAGCGUUAUCCGGAAUUAUUGGGCGUAAAGAGCUCGUAGGCGGUUUGUCGCGUCGACCGUGAAAACCCGUGGCUCAACUGCGGGCUUGCGGUCGAUACGGGCGGGCUAGAGUUCGGUAGGGGAGACUGGAAUUCCUGGUGUAGCGGUGAAAUGCGCAGAUAUCAGGAGGAACACCGGUGGCGAAGGCGGGUCUCUGGGCCGAUACUGACGCUGAGGAGCGAAAGCGUGGGGAGCGAACAGG
rnacentral:rRNA from 1 species